CACGUAGGGGGCUAGCGUUGUCCGGAUUUAUUGGGCGUAAAGAGCGUGUAGGCGGCCAAACAGGUCAGCUGUGAAAACUCGAGGCUCAACCUCGAGACGUCGGUUGAAACCGUAUGGCUAGAGUCCGGAAGAGGAGAGUGGAAUUCCCGGUGUAGCGGUGAAAUGCGCAGAUAUCGGGAAGAACACCCGUGGCGAAGGCGGCUCUCUGGGACGGUACUGACGCUGAGACGCGAAAGCGUGGGGAGCAAACAGG
rnacentral:rRNA from 1 species